GGAGUUUGGACCGUGUCUCAGUUCCAAUGUGGGGGACCUUCCUCUCAGAACCCCUACUGAUCGUCGGCUUGGUGGGCCGUUAUCUCACCAACUAGCUAAUCGGACGCGAGCCCAUCUUUAACCGGAUUGCUCCUUUGACCCCUUCGCCAUGUAGCGUUGUGGUCUUAUGCGGUAUUAGCACAUCUUUCGAUGCGUUAUCCCCCUGUUAAAGGCAGGUUGCUCACGCGUUACUCACCCGUCCGCCGCUGAAACAUCCAAAAAGCAAGCUUUUCAAAUGUCUCCGCUCGACUUGCAUGUGUUAGGCACGCCGCCAGCGUUCGUCCUCGAGCCAUGAUCAAACUCU
rnacentral:rRNA from 1 species